rnacentral:rRNA from 1 species
AUUGAACGCUGGCGGCAGGCCUAACACAUGCAAGUCGAACGAGUGGCGGACGGGUGAGUAAUGUCUGGGAAACUGCCCGAUGGAGGGGGAUAACUACUGGAAACAGUAGCUAAUACCGCAUACCAUCGGAUGUGCCAAGCUGGGAUUAGCGAGUAGGGGGGGUAACGGCUAACCUAGGCGACGAUCCCUAGCUGGUCUGAUAGGAGGAACAGCCACACGGGAACGGAGCAACGGCCCAGACUCCUACGGGAGGCAGCAGUGGGGAAUAUUGCAUAAGGGGCGCAAGCCGGAUGCAGCCAUGCCGCGUGUAUGAAGAAGGCCUUCGGGUUGUAAAGUACUUUCAGCGAGGAGGCGUUACUCGCAGAAGAAGCACCGGCUAACUCCGUGCCAGCAGCCGCGGUAAUAC